rnacentral:rRNA from 1 species
CCUACGGGAGGCAGCAGUGGGGAAUCUUGCACAAUGGAGGAAACUCUGAUGCAGCGAUGCCGCGUGAGUGAAGAAGGCCUUUGGGUUGUAAAGCUCUUUUGUAGGGGAAGAUAAUGACUGUACCCUAAGGAUAAGGUCCGGCUAACUUCGUGCCAGCAGCCGCGGUAAUACGAAGGGACCUAGCGUAGUUCGGAAUUACUGGGCGUAAAGCGCGCGUAGGCCGUUGAGUUAGUUAAUUGUGAAAUCCCAAAGCUUAACUUUGGAACUGCAAUUAAAACUGCUCGACUAGAGUUUGAUAGAGGAAAGCGGAAUACAUAGUGUAGAGGUGAAAUUCGUAGAUAUUAUGUAGAACACCAGUUGCGAAGGCGGCUUUCUGGAUCAACACUGACGCUGAGGCGUGAAAGUAUGGGUAGCAAAGAGGAUUAGAUACCCUCGUAGUCCAUACCAUAAACGAUGAUUGCUAGAUGUUGGAAAUUUAUUUUCAGUAUCGCAGCUAACGCAUUAAGCAAUCCGCCUGGGGAUACGACCGCAAGGUUAAAACCUCAAAGGAAUUGACGG